rnacentral:rRNA from 1 species
UGCCAGCCGCCGCGGUAAUACGAAGGGAACUAGCGUUGUUCGGAUUUACUGGGCGUAAAGAGCAUGUAGGCGGAUUGGUUAGUUGGAUGUGAAAUCCCAGAGCUCAACUCUGGAACUGCAUUCAAUACUACCAGUCUAGAGUCUGUAAGGGGGUGGUGGAAUUCCGAGUGUAGAGGUGAAAUUCGUAGAUAUUCGGAGGAACACCAGAGGCGAAGGCGACUAUCUGGGCCAUUACUGACGCUAAGGCGCGAAAGCGUGGGGAGCAAACAGGAUUAGAUA